AAAUGGAACAUUCUCUCCUCCCAAGGAGACGGGUGCCAUUGUAUUGUAUGUCACCCGUCUCCUUGGGAGGAAAGAAUGUUCCAUUU
rnacentral:pre_miRNA from 1 species